rnacentral:rRNA from 1 species
GGCGAAAAGCCUGAUGGUGCGACGCCGCGUGAGGGGAUGAAGGCCUUCGGUUGUAAACCUCUGUCACCGGGGAAGAAACGCUUCAAGUUAACAAGCUUGAAGCCUGACUUAACCCGGAGAGGAAGCAGUGGCUAACUCUGUGCCAGCAGCCGCGGUAAUACAGAGACUGCAAGCGUUAUUCGGAUUCACUGGGCGUAAAGGGUGCGCAGGCGGCCAAAUGUGUGAGGCGUGAAAGCCCGGGGCUUAACCCCGGAAUUGCACCUCAAACUAUUUGGCUAGAGCAUUGGAGAGGGUAGCAGAAUUCACGGUGUAGCAGUGAAAUGCGUAGAUAUCGUGAGGAAUACCCAGAGGCGAAGGCGGCUACCUGGACAAUUGCUGACGCUCAGGCACGAAAGCGUGGGGAGCAAAAGGGAUUAGAUACCCCUGUAGUCCACGCCCUAAACGGUGCACACUAGGUCUUGGCGGAUUCGACCCCCACCAGGGGACCCCAAGCUAACGCGUUAAGUGUGCCGCCUGAGGACUACGGUCGCAAG